CCUACGGGAGGCAGCAGUGGGGAAUAUUGGACAAUGGGCGAAAGCCUGAUCCAGCCAUGCCGCGUGUGUGAAGAAGGUCUUCGGAUUGUAAAGCACUUUAAGUUGGGAGGAAGGGUAGUAACUUAAUACGUUGCUAUUUUGACGUUACCGACAGAAUAAGCACCG
rnacentral:rRNA from 1 species